rnacentral:rRNA from 1 species
GAUUGAACGCUGGCGGCAUGCUUUACACAUGCAAGUCGAACGGCAGCGCGGGGCAACCUGGCGGCGAGUGGCGAACGGGUGAGUAAUAUAUCGGAACGUACCCAAGAGUGGGGGAUAACGUAGCGAAAGUUACGCUAAUACCGCAUACGAUCUAUGGAUGAAAGUGGGGGAUCGCAAGACCUCAUGCUCCUGGAGCGGCCGAUAUCUGAUUAGCUAGUUGGUAGGGUAAAGGCCUACCAAGGCGACGAUCAGUAGCUGGUCUGAGAGGACGACCAGCCACACUGGAACUGAGACACGGUCCAGACUCCUACGGGAGGCAGCAGUGGGGAAUUUUGGACAAUGGGCGCAAGCCUGAUCCAGCAAUGCCGCGUGAGUGAAGAAGGCCUUCGGGUUGUAAAGCUCUUUUGUCAGGGAAGAAACGGUGGGAGCUAAUAUCUCCUACUAAUGACGGUACCUGAAGAAUAAGCACCGGCUAACUACGUGCCAGCAGCCGCGGUAAUACGUAGGGUGCAAGCGUUAAUCGGAAUUACUGGGCGUAAAGCGUGCGCAGGCGGUUUUGUAAGUCUGUCGUGAAAGCCCCGGGCUCAACCUGGGAAUUGCGAUGGAGACUGCAAGGGCUUGAAUCUGGCAGAGGGGGGUAGAAUUCCACGUGUAGCAGUGAAAUGCGUAGAGAUGUGGAGGAACACCGAUGGCGAAGGCAGCCCCCUGGGUCAAGAUUGACGCUCAUGCACGAAAGCGUGGGGAGCAAACAGGAUUAGAUACCCUGGUAGUCCACGCCCUAAACGAUGUCUACUAGUUGUCGGGUUUUAAUUAACUUGGUAACGCAGCUAACGCGUGAAGUAGACCGCCUGGGGAGUACGGUCGCAAGAUUAAAACUCAAAGGAAUUGACGGGGACCCGCACAAGCGGUGGAUGAUGUGGAUUAAUUCGAUGCAACGCGAAAAACCUUACCUACCCUUGACAUGGUCGGAAGCCUGAAGAGAUUCGGGUGUGCUCGAAAGAGAGCCGACACACAGGUGCUGCAUGGCCGUCGUCAGCUCGUGUCGUGACCCUGUUGGGUUAAGUCCCGCAACGAGCGCAACCCUUGUCAUUAGUUGCUACAUUCAGUUGAGCACUCUAAUGAGACUGCCGGUGACAAACCGGAGGAAGGUGGGGAUGACGUCAAGUCCUCAUGGCCCUUAUGGGUAGGGCUUCACACGUCAUACAAUGGUACAUACAGAGGGCCGCCAACCCGCGAGGGGGAGCUAAUCCCAGAAAGUGUAUCGUAGUCCGGAUCGCAGUCUGCAACUCGACUGCGUGAAGUUGGAAUCGCUAGUAAUCGCGGAUCAGCAUGUCGCGGUGAAUACGUUCCCGGG